rnacentral:rRNA from 1 species
CUGCGCCGAAAAUGUCCGGGGCUGAAACACAACACCGAAGCUUAGGAAUGUAUGUAAGUACAUUGGUAGAGGAGCAUUCUCAGGACGGAGAAGCGGUACCGAUAAGGAGCCGUGGAGUGCUGAGAAGAGAGAAUGCCGGAAUGAGUAGCGAGAUGGAGGUGGGAAUCCUCCAGGCCGAAUAUCCAAGGUUUCCAGAGUAAAG